AUACGUAGGUGGCAAGCGUUAUCCGGAAUUAUUGGGCGUAAAGAGGGAGCAGGCGGCAGCAAGGGUCUGUGGUGAAAGCCUGAAGCUUAACUUCAGUAAGCCAUAGAAACCAGGCAGCUAGAGUGCAGGAGAGGAUCGUGGACUUCCAUGUGUAGCGGUGAAAUGCGUAGAUAUAUUGAGGAACACCAGUGGCGAAGGCGACUAUCUGCCCUGCAACAGAGGCUCAGUCCCGAAAUAGUGGGGAGCAAAUAGGAUUAAAUUCCCUAGUAAGCCACGCCGUAAACGAUGAGUACUAAGUGUUGGAUGUCAAAGUUCAGUGCUGCAGUUAUCGCAAUAAGUACUCCGCCUGAGUCGUACGUUCGCAAGACUGAAACUCAAAGGAAUUGACGGCG
rnacentral:rRNA from 1 species